UACGUAGGGUGCGAGCGUUGUCCGGAUUUAUUGGGCGUAAAGAGCUCGUAGGCGGUUUGUCGCGUCGGCCGUGAAAUCUCCACGCUUAACGUGGAGCGUGCGGUCGAUACGGGCAGACUUGAGUUCGGUAGGGGAGACUGGAAUUCCUGGAUGUAGCGGUGAAAUGCGCAGAGUAUCGAGGAGGAACACCGGUGGCCGAAGGCGGGUCUCUGGGCCGAUACUGACGCUGGAGGAGCGAAAGCGUGGGGAGCAAACAGG
rnacentral:rRNA from 1 species